AGGUGGGCCGAGGUGGGGUGAAGGUUGAUGGGCAUUUGCAGCCAGGUAGGGUAGUGGAAAGGUUGGAGUUUGGAGACACAGGAAGAGGAGGAAGCAGACAAGAAAAAUAUAUGGCAGAUGGGUGGUCUGGCAAAGGAACUAAAACGGGAAGACCAGAGGUGAUUCAGAAGGAGAGAAAAGAACAUAUGAGGUGGGGGGGUCACCUGAAAAUAUAAAAUUCAAUGUUCGUACUAUUGGAUUGUAGCCUACACGGGCAGAAUAUGAGGUGUCAUUCUUCCAGUUUGUGUUGGACUUCGCUCUGGAGUGAAGAAGAUCGGAGCUUUCUAAGAAGAGUAGUUGAAAUGGCAUGUAAUCAGUCUCUGAUACAGGGUCUCGACAAAAAACGCAGACUAUCCCUCUGCCUCCUUAGAUGCUGCCUGAUCUGAAUUCUUCCAGCAGGUUGAUUUUUUUUUUGAUUUUUUUUACAGUCCAAAAUCUGUAGUCUUUUAUGUCUCCAUUUGUACCAUCUCUCCAGUAUAAAGCAUGGAAAUGGGCCCUUAAGUCCACCAAGUCCGCACUUCACAAUCAAUUCCAUUUUAUUUUCCCCAUGCUCCUAUCGACUAUCUUCAGAUUGCUCAACUCAUCUUCGGACUGGUGACUGUUUACAGUUAAUUCACUGAACUACACGUGUUUGUGGGAGGAAACCAGAGCAGCCAUAAGGAGCCCACACAACCACAAGGAUUCGGAAUCGAAUCUAAGUUACUGAACCUAUAAUGUAGUAGCUCAGCUGCUGAACCAAUGCGAAAGAAAAGUCUGAGAGCUCUUGAGGUUAACCUAAUUAGAAUAUUUACUUUGAUGGGAAACUUAGAAAACAGUUAUUUUAAACAAGGAUCUGGAAGCCCAGCUCAAACCAGUGCAGGACCUUCAGUGAAUAGUUUUGUUUUGUUUAUUGUCACUGAGGUACAGUGAAAAGCGUUUUUUUUGCGUGCUGUCGAGUCAGCGAAAAGACUAUACAUGAUUACAAUCAAGCCGUCCACAAUGGACAGAUACAGGAUAAAGUUUAGUGCAAGAUAAAGUCCAGUAAAGUCUGAUUAAAGAUAGUUCAAAAGUCUCCAGUGAGGUCAAUGGUAGUUCAGGACCACACACCAGUUGGUAUUAGGAUGGUUCAGUCGCCUGAUAAAAGCUGGGAAGAAAAUGUCCCAGGAUCUGGAGGUAUCCGUUUUCACACCUCCAAACCUCUUGCCUGAAGGGAUAGGGGAGAAGAGUGCGUGUGUGCGACUGAUUGUUGAUUAUGCUGGUGGUCUUGCCGCGGCAGUGUGAAGUGUGGAUGGUCGAUGGAAGGGAGAUUGGUAAGGCCCCGGUGGGGGGGGGGGGUUGUAGAGCAUUGGGGUCUAGCAGUACAGGUGCACAGUUUCCUGAACAUUUUGUUACACAUAGGUAGGGAGUUAAAGAAGGCUUUUGGUGCAUUGGCCUUCAUCAGUCAGGGUAUUGAAGUUGGGGCGUUAUGUUACAGCUGUUCUUGUGACAAUACAUGUUACAGUUGUUACAGCAGACAUUGGUGUGGCCACAUUUGGAGCGUUGUGUUCAGUCAUUAGGCUGGAAAGGGUGCAGAAAAGAUUUACAAGGAUGUUGCCAAGACUCGAGGCCUUGGCUAUAGGGAGAGAUUGGGCAAGGAGGAAGCUAAAAGGUCAUCUUAUAGAAGUGUGUAAAAUCAUGAAGGGAAUUGAUAGGGUGAAUGAACUGAAUAUUUUACCCAGGGAAUGGGAAUCAAAAAGGAUAGGACAUAGGUUUAAGGCGAGGGGAAAGAUAGGGACCUGAGAGGCGUGGGCUGAAAGUUGGGCCGAAAGGCCUGUUUCUACACUGUGUGAGUAUGACUCUCUGUGAAGUAACUCCAUUUGAGUGACUGGGAUUAUUUGGUGCCUUGACUCUGGAGAUCUAUGUUCUGCCAUAGAUUCAAUGCGGAAUACAAGAGCAGGCUGAGAGGUCAGGUUUAAUUUAUUAAAUUGAUUGAUUUACGGGGCAUGGAAACGGGCCCUUCUGCCCAACGACCCCACACUGACCUUUGAUCACCCAUUUACACUAGUUCUAUGUUAUCCCACUUUCGCUUCCACUCCCUGCACACUCGGGGUAAUUUACAGAACCAAUUAACUUACAAACCUGCACAUCUUUGGGAUGUGGGAGGAAACUGAAGCACCUGGAGAAAACCCACAGAGCCACAGGGAGAUGUCACGGUGGCACAGCGGUAGAGUUGCUGCCUUACAGCAAAAUGCAGCGUCAGAGACCCGGGUUCGAUCCCGACUACGGGCGCUGUCUAUAGGGAAUUUGUACGUUCUCCCCGUGAUCUGCAUGGGUUUUCGCCGAGAUCUUCGGUUUCCUCCCACACUCCAAAGACAUACAGGUUUGUAGGUUAAUUGGCUUGAUAAAAAUGUCCAAGUUGGCGAUAUGCAGAGUACUGCCCUGCCGACUACAACAUUCAGAAGGUUCAGAGGGAGAAUGUGCAAACUCCACACAGACAGUGGCCGAGUUCAGGAUCAAACCCAGGUCUCUGGCGCUGUGAGGCAGCAACUCAAGCAGCAAUCAGAAAUGUCAGGUAUGCCAGCUUGUCUCCUCCAGUUCACUCUUGUCCUCCACAUUUCAACGCACAGCCAUGGGAAUCAGAGACCAGUUCACCUAUGAGGAUGAUGGACACAAAAAGCUGGAGUAACUCAGUGGCAAAGUACAAAGUGAAUUUACAGAAAACUGCUUUAAGUGUUGAAUAGGUCAGGUGGACACAUUAUUGGCAACAAUGCUGAAUACAAGAUUCAACUCUGGAGAAAAAGAAUAGGUCACAUUUCAGGUCGAGACCCUUCUUCAGACUGAGAAUCUGGAGAAAGGGAAACGAUAGAUACAAAAGGUGAUGUGGAAAGGUCUAAAAUAAAUGAAUGAAAGAAAUACAAAAAGGUAAUGAUGAUAAAGGAACCAGGCCAUUGUUAGCUAGGCGAGAACGAGUACAGAAUGAAACUCAACGAGACAACUUUGAAGGUGGUACGACUUGGGUGGGGAGGGAGGAAGACAUCCAUGGUCUCUUCAUCGCCCAUGGUUCUUGGUGAAACUAUGACAAGAGAUAAAUAUGUUUUCACCCAAGUAAUUUGUCGUGCUGCAAACAAUCAAUUGUUGGAAGUGAGAAAUAGGCAUAAUCUUGAGAUUCUGAGUCAGAUUAAAAUCCUGGAAGGUGCUUCCUCAUAUGUUCACUGAGUUCCCAUGGUAUUAAUUUUGCCUGAAAACCUUGUGGCUGAAAUAGUGUGAAUAGUUUUAAAUUGUGCUCAUUAAGAUAAGGACAGCUCGGCGGGGCAGCAGUAGAGCUGCUACCUUACACUGCCAGAUAACUGGGUUCGAUCCUGACUAUGGGUGCUAUCUGUACGGAGUUUGUAUGUUCUCUCUGUGACCGUGUAGGUUUUCUUCAGGUGCUCCAG